UACGGGGGGGGCAAGCGUUGUUCGGAAUUACUGGGCGUAAAGGGUUCGUAGGUGGCCUACUAAGUCAGACGUGAAAUCCCUCAGCUUAACUGGGGAACUGCGUCUGAGACUGGAUGGCUUGAGUGCAGGAGAGGAACGCGGAAUUCCAGGUGUAGCGGUGAAAUGCGUAGAUAUGCGGAGGAACACCGAUGGCGAAGGCAAUCCCCUGGACCUGUACUGACGCUCAUGCACGAAAGCGUGGGGAGCAAACAGG
rnacentral:rRNA from 1 species